CCUCAAAGGGCUCUAAGAAACCCAAACCACGACCAAAGCCAAGGCCAACCGUUGCUACUGCAACAACAACCGAAAUACCAACUACGACCAGCAAUGAAGCUGGUGAAUUGGAGAUUUUAGAACCCAAGCCAGAGGUCAUUAGCACAACAGGCGGUAAUCAAGUGCCCGACAUUGACUGUACGAAUAAGGAUUUUAUACCGCAUGCAAACUGUCAAAAGUACUAUCGCUGCGUGCAUGGCGAGCCAGUCGAAUUUGAGUGCAAGGAGGGCACAGCUUUCCAUACAAUUUUGAAUGUCUGCGAUUGGAUUGAGAACAGUGACCGUUAUUACUGCACC